rfam:Triticum aestivum genome assembly, contig: Triticum_aestivum_CS42_TGACv1_scaffold_499547_6BL
UAAGUACUCCCUCCGUCCGGAAAUACUUAUCGAAGAAAUGGAUGUAUCUAGACAUAUGUUAAUUAUAGAUACAUCCAUUUUUAUCAAUUUCUUCGACAAGUAAUUCCGGACGGAGGGAGUACCAU